rnacentral:lncRNA from 1 species
AUGUUAUUUUAUCCUUACUGUCGUUAUUUUAAAUCGAAGUUGUCUGACUUUAUUUUUUUCAUAAUUAAAAUAGUCGCAACUUCAGUUUAUGUGAAGAAGGUAAGAAAAUGGAAGAAGGAAGAAAGGAUAGUAUUAGGUAGAUACUGGGAAGAGAGCUUUGAGAUGAUCGAUGAGAGCAGUGAGAUUGUUGUGUGAGGAUCCACCUUCUUGAACAGCUCUCCAAGCUUUAUCUUGCAUUUCCUUCGCCUUCUUCCUUAUCUU